GAGGAGGUUUUAAGACCUGCUAACUCUUUAAUCUGGGACUAAACCCCAGCCCCCUC
rnacentral:tRNA from 1 species